rnacentral:snoRNA from 1 species
CCUGCCAUUGCACUAUCCAGUAAUCUACUGGCUGCUGCAAUCCAGUGGUGAGCUGAAACUAAGCCCAGCUUAGGAAGCAGGCCUUUUCUGAAAUCAGUGCAUAACC